UAGCAUUCAUAAGGCCCCGUGUUCUCUCCUCAGCACCUGCCCGGAGCUGCAGAACUUGAGAACUGAAGCAACAGAUCACAAAGUCUGGGCUAGCCUGUGCUACACAGAAACCCUACUUCAAAAAACCACAAACCAAACCAAACCAAACCAAUGGCCGUGGGAGGGUAGGCCAAUGACCAGCCUGCAACGUGGCUUCAUCACCAUAAAUCCAAGCAAAUAAUUGGGAGUAAAGCCCAGUAGAGCGUGUGGCUUCAGGAAAGGAACAAAAACGUGACCCAGAGAGCAUUCUGAAGCUCGGGAUGCGCACCCAUGCUUACCUGCGUGGAGGAUUAGAUGUGUCUAAGCAUUUUCUUUGUGGUUUUGAUUUUUUGAGUCUGGAUCUCACUAUGUAGCUCUGGCUGGCCUGGAACUCUCAGAGAUCCACCUCUGCCUCCCAAGUGCUGGGGUUAAAGGUGAGUUACAUUUGUUGGUUGUUAUGUUAUGCAGAUGUAGAAGACAAAACCCUAUAGGAACUGAAAAGAGUUUUGAUGGUUUGCUGUUUUUAUUAUUGUUUACUCCUGGUGAUUGAGACCAUGACAGGCGUCUCCAUGCCCUACGACAGCUGUUUUCUUUGGACAUGUAGCUUACCCUGAAGUGUGUGGCCAGGAGCUGGGAAGGGUAAGAUCCGAUUGUCACUGGAACCUUCUGUAUGCUUUCAUUGCCUGGGUCCUGUCACCAGCCAGGUCCACAGCUACACAGCUUUGUCUGAGAUAGAAAAGAUGGCAACACAAUAAUAGCUCACUACAAUUUCAGGGAGCCACAGAAAUACGUUUAUGACGUAGUGCCCGUGUGCUGGAUCCACCACUGAAUUACCCCCAGCCCAGUUAACUUUCUCCCAGUACUGACUGUCCCUUCCAUGCAGUGUCCUGGGAUUUUUCCUACAUCCCCUGCCAAAUGUAGUUCGGGUGAUUUCGCAACCUACCAGUGGGUAACGACCCACUUAGGAAAAUCUGGGCUUAUUGCAAUCAACUUUUUUUCAUAACUACAUCCCUAAGGAAGCUUUCGUUACUUUCUCCAAAUCACUGCCUAUAAGGAAAUUUUUAAUAAUACAUAUAAAUACUGUAGUUCCAUUUGUGUGUAUGUGUGAGUGCGUCAAACACAUUUUUAAAUAGGUCUUUAAAUG
rnacentral:lncRNA from 1 species